AGUGAACGCUGGCGGUAGGCCUAACACAUGCAAGUCGAACGGCAGCACAGUAAGAGCUUGCUCUUACGGGUGGCGAGUGGCGGACGGGUGAGGAAUACAUCGGAAUCUACUUUUUCGUGGGGGAUAACGUAGGGAAACUUACGCUAAUACCGCAUACGACCUACGGGUGAAAGCAGGGGAUCUUCGGACCUUGCGCGAUUGAAUGAGCCUAUGUCGGAUUAGCUAGUUGGCGGGGUAAAGGCCCACCAAGGCGACGAUCCGUAGCUGGUCUGAGAGGAUGAUCAGCCACACUGGAACUGAGACACGGUACAGACUCCUACGGGAGGCAGCAGUGGGGAAUAUUGGACAAUGGGCGCAAGCCUGAUCCAGCCAUACCGCGUGGGUGAAGAAGGCCUUCGGGUUGUAAAGCCCUUUUGUUGGGAAAGAAAAGCAGCAGGUUAAUACCCCGCUGUUCUGACGGUACCCAAAGAAUAAGCACCGGCUAACUUCGUG
rnacentral:rRNA from 1 species